CCGGGUUUCCAACGAGGCGUCGCGGCCACUUUGGAGAUGCUCCCUGGCCCCAAUCAGGAGGACUGAGCGGUGACUUUCAGGGUCUCAUUAGUCCAUGCUGGCCUCAAACUGGCAAGGUAGCUGAGAAACACUUGAACUUGUCAUCUCCCAUCUCUGCGUCUUGAACACUGAGGUUGCAGGCACGCACCGUGAUGGCCGGCUCAUGUGGGGCGGUUGCUGAACCCAGGGCUUUGUGAGCCCCCGGGAAGCACACUAUCAAAGCCUGGAUUUAAAUCACAGUAACACCGAGGGAAGAUGAAUGGCAGUGCUAUUGAAUGUGGCUAAAAUUGGAUCCUUCAGCCCAGGAUGAGCCCCAGGAGAGGCCUGGAUACUGACCACUGGUUCCGACAGUCCUCAAAGACAAUGGUGUUCAUGAGGACAGACAUCAUCU
rnacentral:sRNA from 1 species